rnacentral:sRNA from 1 species
GUUACAAUCCCAGCGAGAAUCACUGACUGCACAUUGCGGGCUUUGUACAACACGAUGAAUAUGAAGAUUCAAGCAGCUGAAACUUUCCAGUGACUGAGAGCAGUACUACCCGUUCAUCUUCAUUUCAUCAUGCCACGAGCUAGGGUCGGGAACAUUAUCGUCAAAGUUUUUCAAAGGCAUUGCACAAGUUUAUUAUCUCAGCCAUCACCACGCUAGCCGUGCUUCUCGAACAUAGGUACGGAGCUGGGGCUGCGGUAUCUCUAUUUUUCACUAAAUACGUCGUGGUAGUGGCGUUUAUUGUUGCUUUUUUGGUUUACAUCGAUCGGUUCAUUGGCUGUCAAGAUACUCCAAGCUCGUGAAAAUCCAGAUUUGUCUGAGUUCAUGGAUAAGAUUAGCCUCUCGUCUAGAACUCUUGCUGUAACCUUAGAAUUGUUGAUCGUGGUUCCAGCUCUUGGGUGGUUCACCUUCGCGGCAUGGAGCAUUUGCCUUAUGAUCGCAGUAACAAAGUCGUAUCUUGAAAUUGCAGUUGUUAUGAAAAGGUUGUAUUAAAGAACACUUGAACAGCUUCUUCAGGUGUUUGACAAAUUGAAAGAGUUGUUCAUGAAUAUUGGUGUAAGUGCAUCACUUUCUAAUGCCUUUAACAGAUCGAAAGAGCUCUUCGUGAUCAGAGGAAGGGGCUUCCUUAAUUAGUUAUACACUUCUACUACAUACACUUGCCUUUUGAUCUACUUUAAUUAAUAGUUAAUAACUUAAUAUGUACUAUACUAUACGU